AACCGAAUUUCAAGUUGAACCAGUAAAAUCAGCCAAAAACCAUUGAAAACCUUAGAACCAGUGACCCGGUUUUGCUGUAAAACCCAGUUUGAUAUUUCAGUUAUAUCUCAACUAUUGUUUUCAGUGGUUUUCACAUUAAAGAAGCAUCAGUGCAUCACUGUCCUCGAGCAAUGUCCGGAGCCACCGGACUCUCCGAAAAAGAUGCAUGUCUCAACCUUGGAGUGACAAUCACCCCUUGCUUCAACCGGAGACCACCCCUCAACAUUAUGGAGAAAGUGAGGUCACCUUCAACCAGAGCCGUGCUUGGUGAAGAAAAUUUAAAGCACUUGCUUAGGGCAUCAGUUUUAUGUUUGUAGGGCACAUUUAUACAAAAAAUAUUUUUUAUGGUCAAUUGGUAAAACAUUUAUGCGUGACUUUUUUCUUAAACUUAAACCUAGAUGACUAUUAAUAUUGUUAAGAUUUCUUUUCUACAAUCACAAUUUAGUUUUUAAAAAUAAUUAGUUACAAUUAUAUCUACAUUUAGUUUUUUUUAUUUUAUUUUAUUAUCUCUAUAUUUUUCUGAGUUUGUUAAUUACCUUUUAUAUUUAUAAAGUGUUAAAAUAAAAAGGUAUUUUGAAUCUAAAUCACUAUUAAUAUCCUUAGACCACUUUCUUUUUAUAUAUCAUUAUUAUUUAUUUUAAAAUUGUAAAGUAAGCUUUGUUAAUGAAAAUUAAUAUGAUUAUUACUGUUAAAGAUGAUAUAUAUUGUGUGUUGCAGCUUUUACAAACCAUAAAAUAACAAGUUUUUUGGGUAAACUUUUAUUUUAUAAAAAAAAAUGUAUUAUUUCAUUGCAAAUCAUUCUGGUAAAAUUUUAAGAAAAAAAAUUCGCCUAUGGCAUAAGAAUCUCUAGGAACGGCUCUGCCUUCAACCAUCGCCAAUUGCUCUAUUCCAGGGAGAUAGAACGAUUUAACCCUUUCAUACCAAAAAUUAGAGAAGCGACGAAAAGAAAACAAAAAAACAAAUUAUGCAAACUUUAGGAGAGAGAAUUUUGGCUAUUCAGUGGCUUAACCUCUUUAUCUUUCAUUUGAUUCCAUAUUUUUAGUCAUAGGAGAGAAAAAGAGAGAAUUUUAGCCUCUUUAUCUUUAAUUUGAUUCUAUAGUUUUUCAGUUACAUCGUAAAAUAUAUACAUAGCGGUAUAUUUUUUGUAUGUACAGUGUAUAUCAGGUACGAUGUGAUGUAUGCAUACGUACG
rnacentral:lncRNA from 1 species